UAGCAUAUCAAUAAGCGGAGGAAAAGAAACCAACAGGGAUUGCCCUAGUAACGGCGAGUGAAGCGGCAACAGCUCAAAUUUGAAAUCUGGCUUCGGCCCGAGUUGUAAUUUGCAGAGGAAGCUUUAGGCGCGGCACCUUCUGAGUCCCCUGGAACGGGGCGCCAUAGAGGGUGAGAGCCCCGUAUAGUUGGAUGCCUAGCCUGUGUAAAGCUCCUUCGACGAGUCGAGUAGUUUGGGAAUGCUGCUCAAAAUGGGAGGUAAAUUUCUUCUAAAGCUAAAUACCGGCCAGAGACCGAUAGCGCACAAGUAGAGUGAUCGAAAGAUGAAAAGCACUUUGAAAAGAGGGUUAAAUAGCACGUGAAAUUGUUGAAAGGGAAGCGCUUGUGACCAGACUUGCGCCGGGCAGAUCAUCCGGUGUUCUCACCGGUGCACUCUGCCCGGCUCAGGCCAGCAUCGGUUCUCGCGGGGGGAUAAAGGCCCUGGGAACGUAGCUCCUCCGGGAGCGUUAUAGCCCGGGGCGUAAUGCCCUCGCGGGGACCGAGGUUCGCGCAUCUGCAAGGAUGCUGGCGUAAUGGUCAUCAGCGACCCGUCUUGAAACACGGACCAAGGAGUCAAGGUUUUGCGCGAGUGUUUGGGUGUAAAACCCGCACGCGUAAUGAAAGUGAACGUAGGUGAGAGCUUCGGCGCAUCAUCGACCGAUCCUGAUGUUUUCGGAUGGAUUUGAGUAGGAGCGUUAAGCCUUGGACCCGAAAGAUGGUGAACUAUGCUUGGAUAGGGUGAAGCCAGAGGAAACUCUGGUGGAGGCUCGCAGCGGUUCUGACGUGCAAAUCGAUCGUCAAAUCUGAGCAUGGGGGCGAAAGACUAAUCGAACCAUCUAGUAGCUGGUUACCGCCGAA
rnacentral:rRNA from 1 species